GCCCUCGAUCACGACCGGCUGGUAGAUGCGCUCGAACCGCUCGAUGAACUCCCGUGCGCUCACCUUGUCCACGUGGAUGCGCUCUACGUUGUCCUCGAACUUGCUGAACGUCUCGAACGUUUGAUGGUAGCCCAGCUGCACCCAUGCUGAUCGGUCUGACAAUUCUAUUUUUUUUUUAUGGGACAAGAGAGAAAGAUGGAAAACGCGAAAAUUUAAAACAGUGUGAUUAUUUUAAAUAUUUAUGACAAUAUCAAGGCAUAGCCGCUUCUUUUCUUCUUCAAGAAAGUGCGAUUAGUCUGUUUUGUUCCCAGGACGUUUCUUUAAAAAAAACCAUUUAAAAUGGCAGAAUAUAAAUAGUAUUUCUUACAUUUUAUUACACUUGGUGCCUAGUGCGAUUUAAACGGUCUACUCAACUCGAAUUAAACGCAAAACACUUUCCAGGAGCAACUGAACCAUAGGUCUCUACUCGAAUCGAGUUUGCAAAUGUAAUAAGCUUAGCAAACAAUGUCCAAUCCCAGUACAAAAAGUUUAGGGUGGAAUAACGACCUACUAGGUAGGUGUCCGGUGAUAUUUUCUAUUAUCAAGCACCAAAGCACAGUGGAGAAUCUACUGUUAUGAUCAGAGUCAGAGUAUCGCGUUGGACUCAAGCAUUCGCAGGUCGCGUUCGGCCUGUCAUGACGCACUUUCAUUGAGUACCAAGCGAUGCGCAUCAAGCUACCACGGAUAUGUUCAUUGUUUUCGUUGGUGAACAUCUCGUGAUGCUCAUGACAUUUUGCAGCACUGCCUAAAUCAAAAGGGCACUUUUCCUUCUAUCCUGUAAGAUUUCAUGUAAUCAAACAAUAUCCGAGUAGCAUUGGUGUAGUUAGGCUAUUUUACAAGGAUUUUAACAAACGAUCGGUUUCGACAGCGUCAGUCUUGCAUCUGCUUCGUCGAUUCUUCGAGAUAGCAACAGUUGAUGUACAACACACACACACACACAUUACGGCCUGUGCGCUUUCCGAAGUAGAGAGCAAAACUGCAAUGAAAAAUAAUUCAUUUAAAAAAUAUGCCACAUUUUAAUGCUCCUGUGCUUGCUCAAAAAAAAAGAAAAAACAGAAAAGCAAA